AGUCGAGCGGGGUUGUUGUGGAAGCUUGCUUCUACAACAACCUAGCGGCGGACGGGUGAGUAACACGUAGGCAACCUGCCUAUCAGACUGGGAUAACUACCGGAAACGGUAGCUAAUACCGGAUACAUCCUUUCCCUGCAUGGGGAGGGGAGGAAAGACGGAGCAAUCUGUCACUGAUGGAUGGGCCUGCGGCGCAUUAGCUAGUUGGUGGGGUAAUGGCCUACCAAGGCGACGAUGCGUAGCCGACCUGAGAGGGUGAUCGGCCACACUGGGACUGAGACACGGCCCAGACUCCUACGGGAGGCAGCAGUAGGGAAUCUUCCGCAAUGGGCGAAAGCCUGACGGAGCAACGCCGCGUGAGUGAUGAAGGUUUUCGGAUCGUAAAGCUCUGUUGCCAGGGAAGAACGUCUUGUAGAGUAACUGCUACAAGAGUGACGGUACCUGAGAAGAAAGCCCCGGCUAACUACGUGCCAGCAGCCGCGGUAAUACGUAGGGGGCAAGCGUUGUCCGGAAUUAUUGGGCGUAAAGCGCGCGCAGGCGGCUCUUUAAGUCUGGUGUUUAAUCCCGAGGCUCAACUUCGGGUCGCACUGGAAACUGGGGAGCUUGAGUGCAGAAGAGGAGAGUGGAAUUCUACGUGUAGCGGGGUAAUGCGUAUAUUUUGUGGAGGAACAUC
rnacentral:rRNA from 1 species